CCACCUUCAACACAUACUCUGUAUUCGAGAUUGCUACAAAGAAUGUAUCUUGAAGAAGAUGGUCAGGUGCAUGCAAGGUUUUUUAGUUGAUACUAAUUGUUUUGUCAUAUUGAAAGUUAGUAAAUUGAAAGAUCAUUUAUAUAAACUGAAAGAUCAUUUAUAUUGGAAAUUUUGGCAGAGGUUCAAGAAAUGGUGGAGGUGCACUUAAAGUUCACAUAAAAAUGAUUAACGACUCAGCAGGUACAUGUUCGUCUUGUGAAUCAUCUUUCCUUUUGGUAGUCCUCCUGUAUGCUCAUUAAUAAGAUCUUUUUCUCUUUAUCUUAGAGCUUAACAUAGAGUGUUUAGUAGUUGUUUAGUCUGAUUUUUUUUACUUUAAUAUUUGUUAUAUAUUCCAUCAGUGCUUAUAUAAAACUGUAUUCUCAUUUACAUCUCUGUCUAUGGUUUUGUUCACACUAGACAUGCCGUUCUUUUAACUCAUUCCGAAGAUCCCUAUAUAUUUGAAUACAUGGAAGCAUCCAUUUAAUGGAGAUUUGGCAGCAAAUCGAGAUUCAACUUCAAUGGCUAUACUUAUUUGUGCGAAGAAGAAGUUAUCAAGCUAGUACUUACAUGCUUGGAGGCGUAUUGCUGUUAGAUUUAAAUUUGAAACUUGUAGAGGUAUUUUGGCAGGACUUAGUAGUGGUUAUUCACCAGCUCAUCUAGUAACAAUGGGUUUAGUUUCUUUUCUUUUUCUUUUGACCUGAAGUUCUGACUAUUGUAAUUAUUUGUUU
rnacentral:lncRNA from 1 species